AUAAUUCAUCAUAUUGUCACGGGUACGGAUACGAAGUCUCUCGCAGGACUUCGUAGGCUCUCCAUAUCCUACUCCUAUUCAAUACGUCC
rnacentral:ribozyme from 1 species